CUAACUGUCUGUUAGGUGGUAGUAACUGUCUAACUAUCUGUUAGGUGGUAGUAACUGUCUGCUAGGUGGUAGUAACUGUCUGUUAGGUGGCAGUAACUGUCUGUUAGGUGGCAGUACCUGUCUGUUAGGUGGUAGUAACUGUCUGUUAGGUGGUAGUAACUGUCUAACUGUCUGUUAGGUGGUAGUAACUGUCUGUUAGGUGGUAGUAACUGUCUGUUAGGUGGCAGUAACUGUCUAACUGUCUGUUAGGUGGUAGUAACUGUCUGUUAGGUGGUAGUAACUGUCUGUUAGGUGGUAGUAACUGUCUGUUAGGUGGCAGUAACUGUCUAACUGUCUGUUAGGUGGCAGUAACUGUCUGUUAGGUGGUAGUAACUGUCUGUUAGGUUGUAGUAACUGUCUAACUGUCUGUUAGGUGGUAGUAACUGUCUAA
ensembl:lncRNA